GAUAUUUAAGAGAAUGGGUUAUUUCUCAUUUCCAAUUUUUUAAACUAGAAUAUGAAGCACUUACGUAAUUACAGAUAAGAUAUUAGCUUAACAUCUAAAUGAUAUUUGGACUAGAAGGCAAUGAUCCUUUUUUAAGACUCCACGCCAUAAUAGCAAUGGGUUUCAUGAAAACUGAGACCCCAUUGCAAGCAGUAGUUAUAUUACCAUGGGAGGUUUUUUCCCCAUGUAUUUACUGGCCUUGAAAAAUACUAUUACUUCAACAGUAUUAUAUACAUGUGGUUUAGUUAAAACAGAGAAUAAAUUUAAAGAAAUUAAAGAAAUUUGAGUGGAUAAACAAAAUUAAACCAAAAUAUUAUAUGUAACACAUAAUGUAGAAAUUAAAUAGCAAAACAUGGUUGACAUAAGACAGUAGAGUGAGUUAACAAUUACAGUAGUAAUUGAGAAUGAAAUUGGAAAUGAGGACCAUAUGCUAAUACUAAUUAAAGAGCAAAGCUGUGAAGUUAUCUAAGGUGAUAAUGGCUUGCAAAAACAAUGUUCAAACAAGCCAUUGCAACCAUGAAGCUAUCUGAGGUGCUGCAGACUGCUGUGUUCCUAUACUGGGUCUUGUGAGUACUUUGAUGUGCGACUACAUCUUAGCAAUACUAGUCCUGGAUUUUGCAAUCAAAGGAAAACUUGACCUUUAAAUGGCAUGUUGCUUGGUUGAUGCAUAUCAUAACCGGCUGCUGGGUUUUCUUCUGUUGCGACAACAGGUUAUUGUAGGAGUUUUUAACCCAUGGGUUUCAGUACUGGCCAUGAAAAACUAGUAACACAAGAAAAGGUCGGUACAGGUCUAAAUAUAAUUAGAUGUAUCUUUGUUUAUUUACAUGCAAACUUAGAACACAUCAUGUUUCGUUUCUUGGAGCACCAGUCAGACUUGUGGGGUUACUGAGGUCAUGGCUGCUUGAAAAAGGCCAUGUUCAAACCAACAGCUGCACCCAUGAGGUUAUCUGAGGUGCUGACUAACACAACAUGGGAAUCACUUCAGAGAGCUGGAGCAAACUGCUGUGUUCCUUUGAGUACUUUGAUCUGUAACUACAUCUAUGGAUUUUGAGAUUGAAGGAAAGCUUGACCUUUAAAGGAUGUGUUGCUUGGGUGGGGCAUAAUUAUUAUAGCCUGCCCCUGGGUUUUUCUCCAUUGCGAGCAGUAGUUUUUCUAGAGGGUUUGACCCCAUGCCCUCACUGGGCAUGGAAAAAAAAAUUGUUAAACAACAAAAGGUAAGUACGUGUCUAAAUUAGUGUAGAUGUAGCUUUCUAAAAGAUGUUCAAACCAGUUGCUAAACCCAUGAGUUUAUCCAAGGUGCUGGCUGACACAACAUGGGAAUCACUUCAGAGAGCUGGAGCUGACUGCUGUGUUCCUAUAGGUCUUGUGAGUACUUUGAUGUGCAACUACAUCUGCUGAUUUUGAGAUCAUAGGAAAGCUUGGCCUUGUAAUACUGUGUUGCCUGGUUGAGGCAUAAUAUAGCCUGCUCCUGGGUUUUCCUCUGUCGUUAAUACAAGGUUAGCUAUCAUAGGAGGUUUUCACCCAGGGCUUUACUGGCCAUGAAAAACUAGAAAAACAACAAAAGGUAAGUACAAGUCUGAAUAUAUGUAAAUGUAUCUGAAAACUAUUGUGUUGUGCCAAAUAUAUCGAAUUUAAAUACUCUAUUGUAGAUUGUCAGACUACUCUAUCCCUGAGUAUUUAUUUUGUUUCCCUGCUUACAUGUACUUCAAAAAUGACAAAAUUUUAAUUUUUAAAACUUUUGCAGCAUGACUUCCUAGGAAGAAUUCCAAGUGGAAUGUGAUGAUGUGGGAAGGAUUGUGGACAGCUAGUCCAUCCUCUAUCAAUGUUUGAUUCCAUCCAAGAAGAGUGCAGUCAUGGGUGAAUUGCUGAUCCUCUUAAAGCGUCUUAUCAUACAUUGAUGAUGUGUGAAAGUUACGGACGGAUCCAUUCAUGUGACUUGCAGUAACAAGUUUGGCAGACGUCAUUCAAUUCUGGGAGAUAUCGUCAGGAUCUCAACGCAGAUUGUGAAAGUAGAUUAUCUCUUGUAAUAAUAGGUUAGAUAGUUUUCAAACGAAGACGUUUCAAUAAAACAAGCUAUCUAUUAUUGUUUAAAAUUAUUUUUUCCGCAAAUCCGCGUUUUUCUUUAUCGUUUUCACUCAUCACUAGCACUUGUGUAGGAUAAAAUUGUUACACUAGUUCUUUACUGUUUGAAUUUUUUAAAAAAACUGAAAUUAUUCCAAGAGAAAUAUGUUAUUAGAUGUUUUGGUGUGUAGUAUCGCUGCAUAUUUUUACUAGUUGUACCGUAUUUUGACUCGCCCUGCGGGCUCGUCAAAUACAAACAACGAGUAAAAAUAUAAAGCGAUACUACACACCAAAACAUCUGGUAAGAGAUGUAUUAUCCAACUGCCGUAUUCAAUAGAUUUAUCAAUGAAAAGAGGGAGAGUGUGACAGGUUUGCGUGCGCGAACCAACCUGUACGACAAUCGGGGUUUCUACUGUACAAAUAACUAUACAAUAUCGCUGUAUAUUUGUACUGUUAUUUGGACGGUAUGCGCUGCAGUUGGACAAUAAAAGCGUUUAUUUAACUUGCUGGAAGACAGUAUUCUUUUUUCGGCAUGAUCCAGUAUGAAGGUGGUUCUUGAUUGCGUAUACAUAAGAUAAUUGGAGCAAAUAUUAAAAAAA
rnacentral:lncRNA from 1 species